AUUGAACGCUGGCGGCAGGCCUAACACAUGCAGGUCGAGCGGAUGAAGGGAGCUUGCUCCUGGAUUCAGCGGCGGACGGGUGGGUAAUGCCUAGGAAUCUGCCUGGUAGUGGGGGAUAACGUCCGGAAACGGGCGCUAAUACCGCAUACGUCCUGAGGGAGAAGGUGGGGGAUCUUCGGACCUCACGCUAUCAGAUGAGCCUAGGUCGGAUUAGCUAGUUGGUGGGGUAAAGGCCUACCAAGGCGACGAUCCGUAACUGGUCUGAGAGGAUGAUCAGUCACACUGGAACUGAGACACGGUCCAGACUCCUACGGGAGGCAGCAGUGGGGAAUAUUGGACAAUGGGCGAAAGCCUGAUCCAGCCAUGCCGCGUGUGUGAAGAAGGUCUUCGGAUUGUAAAGCACUUUAAGUUGGGAGGAAGGGCAGUAAGUUAAUACCUUGCUGUUUUGACGUUACCAACAGAAUAAGCACCGGCUAACUUCGUG
rnacentral:rRNA from 1 species